rnacentral:rRNA from 1 species
UACGGAGGGGGCUAGCGUUGUUCGGAAUUACUGGGCGUAAAGAGCUCGUAGGUGGUUUGUCGCGUUGUUCGUGAAAACUCACAGCUCAACUGUGGGCGUGCGGGCGAUACGGGCAGACUGGAGUACUGCAGGGGAGACUGGAAUUCCUGGUGUAGCGGUGGAAUGCGCAGAUAUCAGGAGGAACACCGGUGGCGAAGGCGGGUCUCUGGGCAGUAACUGACGCUGAGGAGCGAAAGCGUGGGGAGCGAACAGG